rnacentral:rRNA from 1 species
CCCUUAGAUGUUCUGGGCCGCGCGCGCGCUACACUGAUGCAUUCAACAAGCCUAGCCUUGACCGAGAGGUCCGGGUAAUCUUUGAAACUGCAUCGUGAUGGGGCUAGAUUAUUGCAAUUAUUAAUCUUCAACGAGGAAUGCCUAGUAAGCGUGAUUCAUCAAAUCGCGUUGAUUACGUCCCUGCCCUUUGUACACACCGCCCGUCGCUCCUACCGAUUGGGUGUGCUGGUGAAAUGUUCGGAUCGGCCGUUUGUCGCGGUUUCCGCGGCUCGUGGCUGAGAAGUUCAUUAAACCCUCCCACCUAGAGGAAGGAGAAGUCGUAACA